rnacentral:rRNA from 1 species
UACGUAGGGGGCUAGCGUUGUCCGGAAUCAUUGGGCGUAAAGCGCGUGUAGGCGGCCCGGUAAGUCCGCUGUGAAAGUCGGGGGCUCAACCCUCGAAAGCCGGUGGAUACUGUCGGGCUAGAGUACGGAAGAGGCGAGUGGAAUUCCUGGUGUAGCGGUGAAAUGCGCAGAUAUCGGGAGGAACACCAGUGGCGAAGGCGGCACUCUGGGCCGGAACUGACGCUGAGGAGCGAAAGCGUGGGGAGCGAACAGG